GACGAACGCUGGCGGCGUGCUUAACACAUGCAAGUCGAACGAUGAACCCGGAGCUUGCUCCGGUGGAUUAGUGGCGAACGGGUGAGUAACACGUGAGUAACCUGCCCUUGACUCUGGGAUAACUGCGGGAAACUGUAGCUAAUACCGGAUACGACCCUCGGCGGCAUCGCCAGGGGGUGGAAAGAAUUUCGGUCAAGGAUGGACUCGCGGCCUAUCAGCUAGUUGGUGAGGUAACGGCUCACCAAGGCGACGACGGGUAGCCGGCCUGAGAGGGUGGCCGGCCACGCUGGGACUGAGACACGGCCCAGACUCCUACGGGAGGCAGCAGUGGGGAAUAUUGCACAAUGGGCGCAAGCCUGAUGCAGCAACGCCGCGUGAGGGAUGACGGCCUUCGGGUUGUAAACCUCUUUUAGCAGGGAAGAAGCGAGAGUGACGGUACCUGCAGAAAAAGCACCGGCUAACUACGUGCCAGCCGCCGCGGUAA
rnacentral:rRNA from 1 species